rnacentral:snoRNA from 1 species
UGCAGAUGAUGCUAGCAAUUUUACUAUCUGAACAGUAGUGAUGACAACUCACCACCAAGAUCGCUGAUGCA